AGAGUUUGAUCCUGGCUCAGAUUGAACGCUGGCGGCAUGCCUUACACAUGCAAGUCGAACGGCAGCGCGGGGCAACCUGGCGGCGAGUGGCGAACGGGUGAGUAAUAUAUCGGAACGUACCCUGGAGUGGGGGAUAACGUAGCGAAAGUUACGCUAAUACCGCAUACGAUCUAAGGAUGAAAGCAGGGGACCGCAAGGCCUUGUGCUCCUGGAGCGGCCGAUAUCUGAUUAGCUAGUUGGUGGGGUAAAGGCCCACCAAGGCAUCGAUCAGUAGCUGGUCUGAGAGGACGACCAGCCACACUGGAACUGAGACACGGUCCAGACUCCUACGGGAGGCAGCAGUGGGGAAUUUUGGACAAUGGGCGCAAGCCUGAUCCAGCAAUGCCGCGUGAGUGAAGAAGGCCUUCGGGUUGUAAAGCUCUUUUGUCAGGGAAGAAACGGCCUGUUCUAAUACAGUGGGCUAAUGACGGUACCUGAAGAAUAAGCACCGGCUAACUACGUGCCAGCAGCCGCGGUAAUACGUAGGGUGCAAGCGUUAAUCGGAAUUACUGGGCGUAAAGCGUGCGCAGGCGGUUUUGUAAGUCUGUCGUGAAAUCCCCGGGCUCAACCUGGGAAUGGCGAUGGAGACUGCAAGGCUAGAGUUUGGCAGAGGGGGGUAGAAUUCCACGUGUAGCAGUGAAAUGCGUAGAUAUGUGGAGGAACACCGAUGGCGAAGGCAGCCCCCUGGGUCAAAACUGACGCUCAUGCACGAAAGCGUGGGGACAAACAGGAUUAGAUACCCUGGUAGUCCACGCCCUAAACGAUGUCUACUAGUUGUCGGGUCUUAAUUGACUUGGUAACGCAGCUAACGCGUGAAGUAGACCGCCUGGGGAGUACGGUCGCAAGAUUAAAACUCAAAGGAAUUGACGGGGACCCGCACAAGCGGUGGAUGAUGUGGAUUAAUUCGAUGCAACGCGAAAAACCUUACCUACCCUUGACAUGGAAGGAAUCCCGGAGAGAUUUGGGAGUGCCCGAAAGGGAACCUUUACACAGGUGCUGCAUGGCUGUCGUCAGCUCGUGUCGUGAGAUGUUGGGUUAAGUCCCGCAACGAGUGCAACCCUUGUCAUUAGUUGCUACGAAAGAGCACUCUAAUGAGACUGCCGGUGACAAACCGGAGGAAGGUGGGGAUGACGUCAAGUCCUCAUGGCCCUUAUGGGUAGGGCUUCACACGUCAUACAAUGGUACAUACAGAGGGCCGCCAACCCGCGAGGGGGAGCUAAUCCCAGAAAGUGUAUCGUAGUCCGGAUUGUAGUCUGCAACUCGACUGCAUGAAGUUGGAAUCGCUAGUAAUCGCGGAUCAGCAUGUCGCGGUGAAUACGUUCCCGGGUCUUGUAGA
rnacentral:rRNA from 1 species